UUUUAUUAAAGGGCCGCGGUAUAUUGACUGUGCAAAGGUUAAGCCAUAAUCCAUUUUGUCUCUUAAUUGGGAGGCUGGAAUGAAUGGUUGAAUGAAAUAUUAACUGUCUCAUUUUUAAAAUUAUAAAAAUUUAGCUUUUAAGUUAAAAGGCUUAAAUUUAUUUAGAGGACGAGAAGACCCUAUAGAUCUUUAUAAUUAAAUUAAAUUUAUAAAAUAGUAAAUUAAUUAAUAAAAUUAAUUUAAUUAUUUUAUUGGGGUGAUAGGAAAAUUUAAUAAACUUUUUUUAUUUAUGAACAUUGAUUUAUGAUUAUUUGAUCCAUUUUUAGUGAUUAAAAGAUUAAGUUACCUUAGGGAUAACAGCGUAAUUUUUUUAA
rnacentral:rRNA from 1 species